GUGGGCUCUCUCUUUCUCCCUGCGGGUUUAAGUUGAUGGUCGAUGGGGUUUGUUUAAAUUAAGCACUGCACAAUGAUGCCCUUAUUGUGGAUCUUUGGUAUUCCUGCAGCAGAAGGAGCGAGUAGCAACGAACACUGUAACCUUGUUCUCUGGAGACGACAUGGGCACGAGGAAGAGGAGAAAGAAAUAUGACAAAUGUUUUGAAGGUUCAUAAUAAGAAUCUGUGGUUCUGUGGUUGCUCUUCAUCAUAACGUCUGUGUUACUUGCUUAACACAGUCCUAAUCACGUAGUUGCAACGCUUCGUUUUGGAUCUGAGGAGUUCUGCGCUGUAAUGUACGCUACCCUUUUUAACAAGUUAAAAAUGUAACAGCUUUUGAAUUAAACUCUUGCUGAACUGUGUAGCUUAGUUCAAUAAAGAUGUUGAAAGUACUUAAACACGUGUAUGUCUAGAUCUGACAGUAGGGUUUUUAUGGGAAAUACACGAUCGGAGACUAAGCAGUGUCCUUAUUUUGCUGGUAGAGGUGAUAGGUGUAAAACACAUCUGUCAGGAGGAAAAAAUAGAAUAUACCUGCUUUCAUAUUUUUUGGAAUGGUCCAUUGAGAGAUACUUGAACACAAAGGUCUGAUGCUGUUCUCCAUUAGUGUCUGGUGUCUGUUUGCCAGGGUGAUGCUAAAAGUGAUCUACGCAGGCAGUGCCCUUCUCUCCAUUGUGGCUCUGGCAAAGUCGCAGUCUGUCCUGAUACCGUCUAGAUCCACUUGCAGAAUGUGUUGUAGCAAGAGCUACGGGGUAAAAGGAACACGAAUUGAGUAACAGGGAGAACAGUAAGGGUAUUGUGCAGUUGCAGGAUUUUGCAACGUGUUUCUUUCCUUAAAACUUCAAACUGUGCAAUAAGGGCUGCUGAACUUAGCUUACACUUCUUCCUCCUCCUUAACUCUCAUUAAUUUUUUAUUUUUUGCGGGGUUUGAUAUAGGUAUAUAUACUUAUAUUUGCCUGGAAUAGGUGGAAUUAAUUUCUUGGACCCUUUAAUAAAGUUCUGAAUGUAAUGAACAGUUUGCUUGUAUAUUUAAGUAGAAAGAAAAAG